UUGAAACACCAGUUCCCACAUGAUCACCAAAGUUAAGACAAGUUGAACUUGGUUAGUACCUAGUUGGGUGACCACCUGGGAAUACCACAUGCUGUAAG